CCGGGCACUCUGGAAGGACUGCCAUCGACAAGAUGGAGGAAGGUGGGGAUGACGUCAAGUCAUCAUGGCCCUUAUGUCCAGGGCGACACACGUGCUACAAUGGCCGGCACAACGGGAAGCGAGUUCGCGAGGACGAGCGGAUCCCUCAAAGCCGGUCGCAGUUCGGAUUGAAGUCUGCAACUCGACUGCAUGAAGUUGGAAUCGCUAGUAAUCGCGGAUCAGCCAAGCCGCGGUGAAUACCGUUCCCGGCCUU
rnacentral:rRNA from 1 species